rnacentral:rRNA from 1 species
UGGGGAAAGGCCGGGCGGCGUGCUUACACAUGCAAGUCGAACGGAAAGGCCCUGCUUGCAGGGUACUCGAGCGGCGAACGGGUGAGUAACACGUGGGUGAUCUGCCCUGCACUUCGGGAUAAGCCUGGGAAACUGGGUCUAAUACCGGAUAGGAGCCAUUUUUAGUGUGAUGGUUGGAAAGUUUUUUCGGUGUAGGAUGAGCUCGCGGCCUAUCAGCUUGUUGGUGGGGUAGUGGCCUACCAAGGCGGCGACGGGUAGCCGGCCUGAGAGGGUGGGCGGCCACAUUGGGACUGAGAUACGGCCCAGACUCCUACGGGAGGCAGCAGUGGGGAAUAUUGCACAAUGGGCGCAAGCCUGAUGCAGCGACGCCGCGUGGGGGAUGACGGCCUUCGGGUUGUAAACUCCUUUCGCUAGGGACGAAGCUUUUGUGACGGUACCUAGAUAAGAAGCACCGGCUAACUACGUGCCAGCAGCCGCGGUAAUACGUAGGGUGCGAGCGUUGUCCGGAAUUACUGGGCGUAAAGGGCUCGUAGGUGGUUUGUCGCGUCGUCUGUGAAAUUCCGGGGCUUAACUCCGGGCGUGCAGGCGAUACGGGCAUAACUUGAGUACUGUAGGGGUAACUGGAAUUCCUGGUGUAGCGGUGAAAUGCGCAGAUAUCAGGAGGAACACCGAUGGCGAAGGCAGGUUACUGGGCAGUUACUGACGCUGAGGAGCGAAAGCAUGGGUAGCGAACAGGAUUAGAUACCCUGGUAGUCCAUGCCGUAAACGGUGGGCGCUAGGUGUGAGGGUCUUUUCACGACUUUCGUGCCGUAGCUAACGCAUUAAGCGCCCCGCCUGGGGAGUACGGGCCGCAAGGCUAAAACUCAAAUGAAUUUGACGGAAGGGC